CGGGGAUAUUUAUAGCCCAUUUUGGCGGUAAGGUUAGCUAAUGCUAUGUAAUUGUCACAUGGGGAUAUUUAUAGCCACAUUAUGGUUUGUUUUUGCCAUUAUCCAUGUAUUCAUUCAUAACUAUGGUGGUAGGUCAGCUGAUGUUAUUUAUUUCUCACAUGGCGAUAUUCAGCAUUUUUUUCCAUUGUUGACAAAAAAGUAAAAAAUAAUGUCUUAAUUAAGUUUUCUCCCACACAAAUAAAAUAUCUGGCCGGAUAUGUUCAAUUGUUGUUCGUUUUGAUUGUAAAAAGCUGAAUAAUUGGUGUAGAUUUGCUGUGUUCAAGAAAGUGUUCAACAAUUGUUCUAGGCGGCCGCCUAUAUAGCAUUAUCGCCUUAUAAAACUACGGUGAUGACCUUUUAAACCGAUUAAAUAAUCAAAAUAUUAUAAUAAUAAAUGAUAUAUAAUUUAUUAUUUAAAAAUUAUAAUAAUUAGUAUAUUAUAAUAUAAAAGCUUAUGAAAAUAAAAUAAAAUAAUUCUCAUUUGUU
rnacentral:lncRNA from 1 species